AUUUUGUAUGACAGGAGGGAAUGUUAGAUCUCCCCCCAAGAAGGAUGGAAGAAGACUUUGGGCCCAUACAACACACAUGUGGUUAAGAUAUCACCACCUACUUUGUGGCAUCUAACCAUGAAUUUUC
ensembl:snRNA